AUUGAUCGCUGGCGGAAUGCUUUACACAUGCAAGUCGAACGGUAGAGGGGGCAACCCCUCGAGAGUGGCGAACGGGUGAGUAAUAUAUCGGAACGUGCCCAGUCGUGGGGGAUAACGUAGCGAAAGUUACGCUAAUACUGCAUACGAUCUAAGGAUGAAAGCGGGGGAUCGCAAGACCUCGCGCGAUUGGAGCGGCCGAUAUCAGAUUAGGUAGUUGGUGGGGUAAAGGCUCACCAAGCCAACGAUCUGUAGCUGGUCUGAGUGGACGACCAGCCACACUGGAACUGAGACACGGUCCAGACUCCUACGGGAGGCAGCAGUGGGGAAUUUUGGACAAUGGACGCAAGUCUGAUCCAGCCAUUCCGCGUGCAGGAUGAAGGCCCUCGGGUUGUAAACUGCUUUUGUACGGAACGAAAAGGUCUCUCUUAAUACGGGGGACUCAUGACGGUACCGUAAGAAUAAGCACCGGCUAACUACGUGCCAGCAGCCGCCGUAACAC
rnacentral:rRNA from 1 species